UUGGUCCCCUACCUUUGGGCCCAUCUUCUGGCAUCACUGCCCUGAUAGAGUAAGGUGAUAGCAGCUUGGUUGGUUUUCUGCCUGUGAGCUCAUCUCGUGGCAUCACUGUCCUGAUAGAGUAAGGCGAGAGCAGCGAGGUUGGUCCUUGGCUUGUGGACUCAUCUUCUGACAUCAUUCUUCCGAUAGAGUAAGGUGAUAGCAGUGUGGGUGGACCCCUGCCUGUGGGCUCAUCUUCUGGCAUCAUUGUUUUGAUAAAAUUUUGGAAGGCUUGAUUGCCAAGUGAAUUUACUACCAUGGCUGCUAAUGUAUUCCCCACAUUGUGAUGUGAGUGGACCAACCAACGAUGAAAUCUCCAAAGUUGAAGAGGCAGGUUACCCUGCAGGUUUGGGAUUACCUUGUUGCUAGAUGAAAUUGUACUGAAAUAGCUGCCUACAUUGAGACUGGCUAACGUAUCCUGUGUCGUGGUGUGAAUGGACUAACCAAGAAAGAUCUCCAAAGUUGAAGAGGCAGGUUACCAUGCAGACAUUGUCGACAUGGAAGCUGUGCAUACAAUAACCAGAUCUGCAAUGCCAAUAAGAAGAGCGCCCUCGUCUCCUUCAACAAGGAGAGAAGCAAGAUGGAGGACAAGAUCCUCUGGGACUUCCCAGAGAUGAUUCAUGAGAACAUCUAGGAAAGGAAGUAACUCAGAUGGAUGCCAGUCUUCGCCUCCAUCACUGAGGAGGAACAGUUUCUAAGAUUGCAUGAGGGAUCCUCGUCAGAACCACAAUCAUUGAUUCACAAAGGCAAGGAAAGGAUUCAAUCUUCUCAGAGAUGCAGUUCCUUGCUUCCACCUUAACACUUGAUGGAGCAAGUCUAUCUGCAUUUGUACACUACUCAAAAGGAUCAAAGGAUCAGAAUUUAAAAAAAGGAUUCACAUCUUUAGAAAUAUGAGUGUCAUUUAAUGUGGUUAUGUUCUGGCUACAAAACAAGAAAAACUUAUUGGUUCCAGUCCAAUGUAAACUUUCUCUGCAGAGUACUGAAGUCCCAUGAAAUUGAAAAACCCUUUAGGUCAGCACCUUGUCAAGGUCACCUACACAGCCCUAAAAAUGAUGAAAGUGGAGUUUUGGGAGCAUUGAGUUGUUGGACUAAUAUCUUGUUAAUGUGAGGGCGCUGUUUAUAAGUUAGAAUGAUGUCCUGUUAAUGUGAGGGCGCUACUUUUUAUGCUGAAAUUAUUACAGCAGAGAAAUGAAGCAGUUUGAAGAUACGAUACAUACAUGUAUCUCAGUGUGAAAAAAUUAUAAGACCUUUUUUGUUUCGGAAAAUAAUGCAUACAUCUGUUUGUAAAUCUUCCCCAAAUCACAUAUUUUUAUAAUUAUCCAUAAAAAUAGACUGAUACAUUUCCUAGUUGUUUGUGAACCAGCGCAGUUCAUUUCUGACCAAAGGAGACUCUGUUGUUUAGAAAAUUGCGCCCUCUCUUGGUCAAGCUCAGGGCUCAUUGGACUAUGAAAGACAUGAUGCAUUAUCUUUCACUGUAUCAAAGUAGACAUCUGGCUGAGAUUUUCAGACAAAUGUCUGAUCCUUUAAUAUUUUUGAGUAGUGUAUAUUGGUAUACAGUACAAUGCUGCUAUAAUGAACAGGGUAGGGUCCACACACAGUGCUUGGUGUAGCAUACCUCCCCAACUGUUCUGAUUUCAUUGGGUGAUAUUUCAUAGGCUUAAAAAUUAAACUGUUCCCAUUUCUGUAAAAAAAGGAGAACAAAAUUCCUUGCAAGAGGGCGCUAUUUGCC
rnacentral:lncRNA from 1 species